GGUUUUGGUUCCGGUGCGUAGGCGAAACAAGCGCACGACGUGGGCGUGGAAGUACGGCAGCUCGGCUAUAGGCUCUGCAGUAGUCUAUUGCAUGGUGGUUCUGGCGACGGUGGGAGAAACGUCGCGAAAUCCAUAGUAUGUAUGUGCGCACACAAAAUAUAAACAGCGGUCGCUCUAUGUUCUCCGAGAAUAGUUCGGUUCCCGGAAUGCAUUAUAAAUUUAUAAUAAUGUGGUUCGCGAAUCGUGACGGUUUGUUUACAUGCACGUCGAUCGUGCACAGUACGACGUUGAUACAUGAUUAGUGGUCAGCAAUGCAAAUUUUAGUAGACAUUCACGGUAGAGCGAAUAAGAGUAUCAGCGUACGCAGUUUUAACUGUUUCAAGACUGGUACCCCUCAAAUACAGCGAACCUUUUUUCAUAUAUUAUACUGUUCACAGCACACAGGACCAUUUGGCAUUUAGCUAUAAUAAAUAAUUUUUGAGUUUAAUAAAA